rnacentral:lncRNA from 10 species
GUUAUUUGUCUCUUUGUGCAUUUCUGUUCCCAGAUGAUCAAUUUCCACUGCUACGUUGUUUUGUUUUUGUUUUUUUCCUCCCCUUAGACUGCAAAUGGAAAUGUGGAGGCAAAGGUUGUCUGUCUUUUCCGGCGCAGGGACAUUUCUAGUAGCCUCAACAGCCUGGCUGAUAGUAAUGCCAGGGAGUUUGAAGAGGAAUCAAAGCAGCCAGGGGUGUCUGAGCAGCAGCGCCAUCAACUGAAGCACCGGGAACUUUUUCUUUCUCGGCAAUUUGAAUCAUUACCAGCCACCCACAUACGGUACAGGACAACUGGGGCCAGCAUAGCCUGCGUGCACUUACGUAGAAGAUGGAGAGAAGGAGGUGGUAUUGAGAGAUGCUGUGGGGAGGGAGAGUGGGGCUCACCGGGGUUUUCCAAUCUCUCUCCUAUAGGGGGAAAUGCAGUGUGACCCUCUUGAAUGAGACAGAUAUCUUGAGCCAGUACCUGGAAAAGGAGGUGAGAAAGAGAUGUUGAGAGAAGAGCGAGGGGAAUGG